GGGAGCCCUGUGCUCACUGAACUGGGGAGCGCCGCUCUAGGUGAUUUCCAGGAGCAAAAAAAAAGGCGAUAGUCAAGGUGCUUGUGAACUGGUGUUAAAAGACAAAUUCUUCAUUGUCAAUCCAGCUACCAUUCUUGUUCAGUUAAACUCUGCAACAGAUCUCCCACAAAGUUGUGUCCUGCUGUUGCUGCUUC